rnacentral:rRNA from 3 species
GCAAUCAAGUGCCUUAAGGGUGUUCGGUGGAUGCCUUGGCGCUGAGAGGCGAUGAAGGACGUGCUACGCUGCGAUAAGCCGUGGGGAGCUGCGAAGAAGCUUUGAUCCAUGGAUUUCCGAAUGGGGAAACCCACCUUCGAUAGCCGGAACUCCAAGACCUCAGUCGAAAGACUGUGGUGUGGGGUUCGAACAGAAAUGUGAGAUGCCUAGGCCUUUAGAUUUCGAUCGAAGAGGUUUUGGAUUUCCGGUUAUCAAAAGAAGGUAUGAGACUUCUGAAUACAUAGGAGGUUUCAAGCAAACCCAGGGAACUGAAACAUCUAAGUACCUGGAGGAAAGGACAUCAACAGAG